GUCGGCAAUUUCAUUCACAGCCCAAAACCCCUUCUUUUCUCCUUCCUCGUAAAAACUCAUUUCACGAUAAACCCCAAACCCCUUAAUCUCUCUCUCGUCCCGUGCUCGUUGCUCGCCGGAGUUGCGCCUUUCCUCGCCGGCGUCCUUGAAGCUCGUCGGAGACGCGUCUACUCCUCCACUUGCGCGAUGUUGCGGCUGUGAUAGAUACCCUGUUCGCGAUUUUUCUCUCUCCUCCUCUGUUCCGUGCUGCUGUUGUUAUUUGUGGUUGUUGUUGGUGAUUUUGCUGCUGCUGCUCUGAGUUGUUGUCGACGAACGGUCGCCGGAUUCCUACUGCCAGCGUCGCGUUGCUGCUGCUACUGCUUUGCGUCGCACCACGACGCAGCGAACCGCCGGAGCUCUCUGCUCCCUUGUUUGUCACUGCUCAAUAGAGUAGAGGUAUAAUAUACCUUUCCCUUUUUAUUUCUGAUUUUCUAUUUGUAAAUUAAGCCAAGUUGCUGUGGUUUGUUGUUGUAUUAGCGGUUGUUCUGUUGUUGUUCAUUGUUGUCUAAUGGUAUUGUUAUGAUGGUUGUUGUGGGGUGGUUGUUGCUUUUAUUUGUUGUUGUCGUUGUUGUUUUUCUGUUCUUUCUCUUCUUGACUUCUGUUGGUGUUGCUGCUACUUUCUUUUUCCUUCGCACUUUGAUGCUGCUACCACCUUUGGUGGUGGCCAUAUGUUGGUGACUCUGCCGCCAUAAUGUUGCUGCUGUUAUGUUAUUGUUGUUAAUGUGUCGUCGUCUUGGUGAAGCGUUAUGCCUAGUUAUGGUUAGUAAUCAGUAGGAGUAGUUUGAAGUUGAUUGGCAAGUUUAGUUAGUGUUAUAUUGUUUUUGGGAAAGAGAUAUGGGUCAUAUAAAUUCUUAUGUUAGUUUAAUAUAAUUCGUUAGUGAUUGUUACUACUAGUAAUAUGUUAGAUUGGAGUUGAUAUAUUUGAAGAUAAGUGUAGAGGUUAUUAAAUUAGUUAGUUUUUAUUUGUGGGAUUUAUUAGUUUGAUUAGCAUAGUGGUUGUAUUAAGAGAAGUUAAUUAGAUUAGUUAAGAUUGGUUUUUGAUUACUGUUAUUGUUAUGAGGUAAAUUGUUGGAGAAGGAUUAUGGAAUUGAAUUUCAUUUGGAGAUGAAGAUUAACAAAGGAGGUUAUGUUGGUGGAAUCUGAAUCGCAGUUCAGGUUUGAUAUUCAGAGCUCGGAAUUCGAAGUGGAGCAAGAUCAAGGUUUCAUAGUGGCUUAAGGAUUAAGCUUGUAUUUUAGAUAGUUGGUUUUUAGUAUUUCGUUGUAUAAUAUUUGGGAAUUUUGGUUCAAUUAUUGGUGUAUUUAAGGAUAUUUUUCCGCUGCAAGUUAAUUUAUUUAAGAGUUAAUUCUAGUUUAUGAA